CCUUAUCUUCAACACAAUAAAAACAAAAACAGCAACAAACUGACCGGGCCCGUACUCCUUUCCCCUUAUCUUCAACACAAUAAAAACAAACAGCCAAAACCCAUUCCAACGCUAACAACAACAAGCGAGCAACAACGUUCAACAACCAACGAUAGCCAACAACAAUUCAAUGGUAAAAUUAUCCCUUUUACCCUCGUAAUUCAUUCAUCCAUGGCCAAAGUUCAGAAAGCUUUCACCAUUUUCAGCCCAUCACUCACCAUUUUGGGAAACCAUUAAUUCACCUCUUUGACCAUAAAGCCAAACGGCUCUUUCCUCUAUCCCUUUACUGAUUCGUGAGUACAAAGGCCAUUCCUCACCAUGGAUAUCAAAAAAAUUUUAGAAACAGAUUUGAAAUUUUCAAUUUGAAGUUCACUCUUUCAAAACCCUAGCUUCCCCUAUAAAUAGAUAGCAAGGGUCAAGGGUGAAGGAGGAGGAUUUUUCGGGAAAAAACUUGGAAAUUUUGAAGGAGCAUUCCUUUAACUUCACGCAAUCGAAAAUCCGUCGAGGUUAUCCUAAACUCCGGCAAAACUUGAGUUCGAAAUUCGAUUCCGAAGUCGUCUUGCUCAUUUCGGCGUCCCAGUUCCUGCGCCAAAAAAAGUUAAUCCCUCAUCCUUUUAUCUGCUCUCUCAAAUAACAUAGAGUUAGUAGUGUAAUGCUAGCUGUUACUUUAUGUGUGUUAGUAUAUUUUCGAUUCUGAGGGUGCUUUUUCUCCGUAGAUGAUAGUAGCUAUGAGUAAAUCACAUAUUAAAUUGAGGGUGUUUGUUUUGCUGGUAUAGAAAACUAGGAUUUAUUAUGUUUUCUUGUUGUUUCUGGUAGUAUAAACCUCACAAUAGGUAAAAAAAUGGAGGUGAUUUGUUGGUUGAGGUCCCAAAGAUUAUAUGUUGAACUUGUAUACUCUUGUUGUCCCUUUGUUAAAAGUUUACCGUUUAAGCAUUUUGUUCGUGUCUAAAAUCAUGUUAAUAAAUUUAGUAUGUUUCGUCCCUCAUAACAUUCUUUUAGGUCUUUAUUUUUAUUGAAUCAAUCUUUAUUUGACCUUUUUCUAUAUUCCUAGUGAUGAAUUAUAUGUCAUAGUUUAUUUUCUUCACAAUUCCUCUAUAGUUAAGGUUUUAUGCUUGUUUUAGCCCGUAAUUGACUUUUUCAGCUACCUUGUUUUCCUUUGUUUCCUCUGUGAAUUGUAGAACCACUCCUAAGAUUUCCUUGGCUCAAAAUAUUAAUGGGUAUAGUGGGAGUAGGUUUGUAUUCCAAAGACUCCUCGUGACCCUCUUAAUAUACCAAUGUCCUUUUGGACUUGUCAAGGAGUGAAGGGGAAUGAAAUAGGCUUAGUUGACUUAAUAUAUGACUUUAUGAGAGGUUGUUAGUUUAUUCUUUUAAGUUUUGUAAAAUGCUACUGUUCAAGCCUUAUUUAUGUUUAAUCGUGUUAUUAAAUUUUGUGUGUUUCAUCUCUCAUAAUUAUAUUUAGCUUUGGACGAAUUCAUUUUAGUUUUUUCGUUGCUUGUUUUCUCGCUAGUGUUGGAUUAUGUCAUCUUAAGUUUUAAGGAUUUUUUUCAUAUGCAUUUUAGUUUUUUCGUGGCUUGUUUCAUCUAUGUUUUCUUAAGUUUUAAGGAUUUUUUCAUCUUAAGUGUGGUUUGUUUCUUGUUUGUGUGUCAAUUGAAUCCCCCGAUUUCGUGAGGAAUGAGUUUGUGACUAUAGAAUGUUUCUUCAGAGUUAUGAAUGUGGUGCUUUAAUACUUGAUCUAGUUCUUGAUACUAAUCUUUAUCCCUUUUCAUAUGCAUGAACUCCUCCGUCGAGUCCCGCGUACUCUCCACCCUUGCAUUUCGUUAGGUUAAACCCAACUCACAUUGAGUCAAGACCCGCACCAAGUCCAAAAUGGACUAACACAUGAAGAAAGUGGACUGAUACAAAGCUGUAUACAUCUGAUAUACACUAACAAACAAGUUUUUUAAAGGAGGAAAAAUGGAAAGGAAAGCUGGGCGAUAAAAGUUGUGUGUAUUUGGCUGAAAUACAGCCAUAUAUACACCGUAUAUAUACAGGAAACGCAGGAGUAUACAACUGGUAUACAAUGCAGAAAAAUGGACUUAAAGGUCCAGAAAAUAGGAAGCCCAAGCUGGGCAGCCCACUUAUGGGCUAAUAAAAGGUGCCCAAUUCUAACUUUAAUCUCUUAUUUACUUAUAAUUUGUAAUUUAUGCUUGUCUACUUGUAUUAGUGCUAAUUCUGCUUAAUUAACCAAGUGAUUUCCCACGUCGUUGCCUUUUCAUUUAUCUCGAAUCUCUCAUUUCUCAUUUAUCAUAUAAUUAUCCCACAUAAUUCAUAAAAAGAGAUAAAAAAUGAGUACUUUAGUCUACUUGGGUAAAAAAGAAUAUAUAAUUCUCUUCAAACUCGAAAAGUUGUUUUCUCGUAAAUUCUAACUUUCUACAAUUGAUAAAAUGUUUUAAUAUGAUACUUUUUUAAUAGUUUCCAAAAGUGUUAGCCAUAACAACAUGGCCAUUUUUAUGACAAUAAAUGAUAGUAAGUAAUUAUAUUAUCUUCUCUUUUCAUAAAAAUUAACUUAUUUUCUCUUUAAAUUCAAAUGUGUCACCUUGCCUUUUCGUCUUUGUAGUCGUAUAUCUCAUGUCUCUUAUAUUUUGUCAGAUGAUAUCUGAGACAUUAAACAAGAAGUAUCUUGAGAAAAUUGAAGGAAAUGUGUUUUUUAAGUCUUGAAUGAAGGAUUUGUGAUAUUAACCAACUUGAAAAUUGAAGGAAAUGUGUUUUUUAAGUCUUGAACGAAGGAUUUGUGAUAUUGACCAACUUAAAGGGUCAAAUAUAAUUAGAAAACUUAAUUAAGUUAAUUGUGUACUUGAUUAAUAUUUUUAAAACUUUCUAAUCUUUUCAAAAAUAUAAAUUAACCCACACCCAUCUACUCCAAAUCAACCGUCUCUUUCCUCUCUCUCGAGACAGUUUCUCAACUCUCUCUCAACAGUUCUGCAAAAUUUCUCCCUUCAAGCUCCUGCAACAAAUAGCUGGUGAGUUCUUUUUCGACUUUCAACCAUCAAUCGACAUGAAGAAACAGAGGAACUUUAGUCAACUUCUCCGGCGACAACAACUGUGAAUUCUUCGUCAUCCUAUUUCUUCUUUCAUAAGUAAAAUAUUAUGACUUGAGCCAACUUUUCUUCUAGAUUGGUUAGCAAUUUUAAUAUUUCUUGCUUAAGUUUGAAAUGUGGACUGAAUAAAAUCCUAAUUUCUGGUAUUUCUUCUUUACUCUUUUCGGUGUGAAAUAUAAUUUUUUGUUAUUAUUGUAGUUCUUGUUGUCAAACUAUUGAUUCGAUUUGUUGGUGAUUUUUGGUCACCGUUGGUAUUCUUAAUGUGUGUUAUUGUGUUGGUGUUGCUUUGUUGUUUUUCUUGCUUAAAAUGGUGAUGCAACAGAUUAACUAUCUGAUGCAACAGAUUAACUAUCUGAUGCAAUAAAUAAACUAUCUGAUGCAACAGAUUAACCCAUCUGAUCUAACAGAUGAAACAUUCGAUGUAACAAAUUAAAUAUCUGAUGCAACAAAUGAACACAACAGAUCAUUCAUCUGUUUCGACAGAUGGCUCUUCUGUUUGGAAGAAAUCUAAAUAAUAUUAUCCAACAGAUAACUCAUUUGGCAACAGAUGAGUGAUCUGUUUUAACAGAUGUGUGAUCUGUUUUUAUUGUUUCUAACGGAUUACUCAUCCGCUGCAACAGGUUGCUUAUAAGCUGCAACAGAUAUCCUGCCUGGUGCUAAGACGAGUGAUCUAUUUUUAUUUUCUCCAACGGAUUACUCAUCUGCUACAACAGGUUGGUUAUAUGCUGCAACAGAUAACCUACCUGGUGCAAUAAAUGAGUGAUAUAUUUUUAUUGUUUCCAACGGAUGAGUGGAUUACUCAUCCGUUGCAACAGAUUGCUUAUAUGCUACAACAGAUAUCCUAUCUGGUGCAACAAAUGAGUUAUCUAUUUUUAUUAUCUCCAAUGGAUUACUCAUCUGCUGCAACAGGUUGGUUAUAUCCUGAACAGAUAACCUAUCUGUUGCAAUAAAUGAGUGAUCCAUUGGAAAUAAUAAGAACAUAUCACUCAUCUAUUUCACCAGGUAGGAUAUCUGUUGCUACCUAGUGCAACAGAUGAGUGAUCUAUUAUAAUUAUUUCUAAUGAAUUACUCAUCCGCUACAUAGGUUGGUUACAUGUUGCAACAAAUAACAUUCCUGGUGCAACAGAUGAGUGAUCUAUUUUUAUUAUUUUCAAUGAAUUACUCAUCCGUUGUAAUAGGUUGGUUAUAUAUUGCAACAGAUAACCUUCCUAGUGCAACAGAUGAUUGAUCUAUUUUUUUCUUCUAAUGGUUUACUUAUUCGUUGCAACAUGUCGAUUAUAUGUUGCAAAAGAUAACAUACCUGGUGCAACAGAUGUGUGGUCUGUUGGAACUGUUAUUUUACUGUUUGCAUGUUAGAUUUAUUGUUAUCCUUUUUUAACGAUGCAUUAAUCAAUUAUAAUCUAUUUUAUGUUCCUAUUAAUUUAAGAUAAUAUGACCCUCAAAAGAAAAGAAAGCGAAUCAAGUCUAAGUAAAAGGAACAAGUGAACCAGCUAGGCUACAUCCACCACUUUAUGAGCUUGCUUUAUAAGCGUUAUCUCAAUAAGGAGCAGAAGUAAUGAACACGGGGAAGAGGAAUAUUUCAAAAGAGAUGAUCUAAAUGCUAAUAGCCCUUCCAUUGAAGAGUUGGUCAAAACCUUCAGCAUUGAUCGUUAUCCUGUGAGAAAUGUAGUGUGAUGGUGCCACAGAGUUAAUGCGUGAUUUCGUUGUUAAGUCAGCCCUGAGAAAAUCUUUUGACGCCUUCAGAAAAAUACUUUAAGAACAAAAAUUGGAUUCUUAUUUUAGGAAAAGCUACUUUGGGCAACAUCUUGAUUUAUCGGAAGACAACAAUGCUCGUUUUCAAAUAAAAAUGGUAUAUAAUCUUCUCAAGCGUAGGUUUAUGUAUGAAAACAAAGAUAAGACGGAUAAGGUGUGGAUAAAUUACUGUGGCAUGCUUGUUUGUUUUGGUUGGAAGGAGUUUGCCAUAGUUACUGGACUAAGAUAUUAUCCUUCUCCUCCUCAUUCUCAAGUUAUACCUACUCUAACCCUAAAAAAAGCAUCCCGCACACCCAAAAAAGACAACGGUAAGUCGAGUGAUCAUGAUGACCUGGUGUCUAUUGCUGGUCCAAGCUUCAAAAAUAAAAAUUUGAUAGAAGUGUUGAAAGGUAAAGGACUUUCAAAGAAGCACAAGCAAUCAUUGUGCUUGGUUUGGUUUGUACAUAAUAUUCUUUGGGCGAGAUACGUUAACAACAACAUAAGCCUUAGUUUAAUAAAUCUCUCAGAGGAUCUUGAGGCAUUUAACAACUAUCUUGGGGUUAUGAAAGCUUUAAAAUGACUGUCAAAUAUUUGUUGACUCUGUUAACACCAAAGAUAGUCAACUUAUAUGGCUUUCCAUAGGCUUUCAUGGUAAAUAUUUCUUUUAUUAUGAUAUGAUUCAUUUUUUUUAUUCAAUAAUGCUUUUGAUUUAUUGGCGUCAUGUUAUAAGCUUGGGCAUUUGAAGCCAAUCUUUAUUUGAGACAACAACUGAACUAUUAGGAAGAAGUUUCCUGUCAAGAAUCCUGAGAUAGUUGUCGGCCAAAAUUGAUAAAAAUACAAAAUAUCUUGAUCUUUUCAAUCCUCUGAAGGAAGCAAUAAGUCUAAUUCUAAUCAAGUUUUUUUUAAUUAAUGAUUAUUUUAAAUGAUUUCAUUAUCAUUCUAAUAUAUGUACUGAUUUAUUUUAGAUUGUCCAUUCGUCGAUUGUUUCGACCAAUCAAGAGUUGAGGAUGCCAUUUUUUCUUAUUUUACGGUCUGUGCAAACUUUAUCGGACCCUAAGGUCAUUUAUAGAAUAACAAUAAAUUGUUUGGAGCAACAACCAUCACAAGAAAAAUAAUUUCGAAGGGUGGGCUUGUUGUUGUUGAUGAUGGUAGUGGUAGUGGCAUUGCUAUUGGGGAUAAUGAUUCUCCUCUUACAGUUUUUGAAACAAUGAGCCAUUAUGAUUAUGAUCAUACUGGUUAUACAGAUUUUUCUCCAGAUUUUGCCACUUCUAGUGAAUGUUCUGAAUGUAAAUGUCAAGACUGCACGGCAAAACAUGAUGGAGUGAUUAAUGCUAUUAAUUCACUAACUAUUUUUGUAAAGGAAAUAACAUCUAAAAGGGUGUCAUUCCAUCAAAGAGGUUUUCAUAUCCAUACAUUCCACUAGAGAUCAAAGUGGCUUAGAGGAAAAGGAAAGAUAUUUCCAAAGCAUUGUCAAGCAUUGAAUAAAGCAAAAUUACAACGCAUAUGUCUUUGUCUUACACCGCUGUUCAAUGUACAAGGGACACAUGGGAGUAGCAUGAGCUGAAAAAGGUGAAUGUAUAUCAUUUGUUCCAGCAAACAAACAGGCACAUAUCUGUUUCAACAGAUGAUACAUCUGUUGCAGAUAUUGUCUAACUUGUUCCAUCAAAUGCGUUAUCUGUUGCAACAUAUGUCUAUCUGUUUGAGCAAAUUAGGUUUUUGUACUAUUUUAAUUUCUACCAAUAGAUGAGUCUUAUGUUGCAACAGAUGGGUCACUUGUUUGAAUUUGUCCCAAUAGAUGAUCCAUUUAUUACAACAUAAGACUCAUUUGUUGCAACAGUUGGACAAUCAGUUGUAUAUCUGUAAUUAGUAUUGAUAAUUCUAGCUUUUCAAGUGGAUGUCACAGUAGAUGCUACUGCUGAAGAGUAUAAUAUCAAAGUUGAUAAUCCAUCAACUGCUUCCAAAGAAGAAGAAAAGGUGGAGCCUGUCAAUUCGGGAGAACGGAAGAAUUACCCAUUUGAAGGGUUCAACAUCUCGGACAAGGCUCUAAAAAAACUAACAAGGUUGAUCAAUGACUAUUCAGAAUGGAUUGUUGAUGGGCUGUUAAAGAAUUAUGUCGGCAGGUACAUAAAUUAAUUUUAAAGAUAUUGGUUUAUACAAUUCUUGUUAUAAGAACAUGACAUUAACACAUAUAAAUCAUCAUGUAGAAAAUAAAAUGACGAACACUAUAAAGUGAAUAAAUCGAGUCUUGGUUUUGAUAUGUUCGACUUUGUUGUUUCACAUUCCGAAAUGAAGAAUUGGUUCUAUUUGAUGUCACAACCCCAAACUUGCUAGAAUGAUGAGGUUUAAAUGCCAUGCAUAUUACUAUUAAUUAAUACUUUAUUUAAUUACAUCUGUGUAUUAAUUUUUUCAUCACAUAAUCUAAAAUGUUUGAUAAUAUGUGUAACACAUCGAUGUCAUUUUUUACUACAUCAGAAAGAAGGCCAAGUUUCAAACACAAGAAUAAUACAGAUACACGACAGACAAUUAUUUGUACAAAGUUUACAGCAAUAAUGGCUACGAUAGGUAUUGUCAACAACAACUAAAAUUUUCUCAAAAUGAGGAAUGCUUAAUCAACAUCAUCAAAGGUUUUAACAUUCCAACUGGCUUACCUUGGCAUUUGGUUGACGAAGUAUACUUUCAAGCAAUUGUGGUGAUGAAUUUCAUUGAGUGUUGGAUGUCGUUUUGGGCCGUUGUCU
rnacentral:lncRNA from 1 species